rnacentral:rRNA from 1 species
UACGUAGGUGACAAGCGUUGUCCGGAUUUACUGGGCGUAAAGAGCGCGCAGGCGGUCGCUCAAGUCGAGUGUGAAAGCCCCCGGCUCAACUGGGGAGGGUCACUCGAUACUGAUCGACUCGAAGGCAGGAGAGGGUAGUGGAAUUCCCGGUGUAGUGGUGAAAUGCGUAGAUAUCGGGAAGAACACCCGUGGCUAAGGCGGCUCUCUAGUACGGUACUGACGCUGAGACGCGAAAGCGUGGGGAGCGAACAGG